UGGCAAGCGUUGUCCGGAUUUAUUGGGCGUAAAGCGAGCGCAGGCGGUCUUUUUAAGUCUGAUGUGAAAGCCUUCGGCUUAACCGAAGAAGGGCAUCGGAAACUGGGAGACUUGAGUGCAGAAGAGGAGAGUGGAACUCCAUGUGUAGCGGUGAAAUGCGUAGAUAUAUGGAAGAACACCAGUGGCGAAGGCGGCUGCCUGGUCUGUAACUGACGCUGAGGCUCGAAAGUAUGGGUAGC
rnacentral:rRNA from 1 species